rnacentral:rRNA from 1 species
GGAUUCCCUAGUAACUGCGAGUGAAGAGGGAAAAGCUCAAAUUUAAAAUCUGGCAGCUUCGCUGUCCGAGUUGUAAUUUAGAGAAGUGUUACCCGUGUUGGACCGUGUAUAAGUCUCCUGGAAUGGAGCGUCAUAGAGGGUGAGAAUCCCGUCUUUGACACGGACUACCAAUGCAUUGUGGUGCGCUCUCGAAGAGUCGAGUUGUUUGGGAAUGCAGCUCUAAAUGGGUGGUAAAUUCCAUCUAAAGCUAAAUAUUGGCGAGAGACCGAUAGCGAACAAGUACCGUGAGGGAAAGAUGAAAAGAACUUUGGAAAGAGAGUUAAACAGUACGUGAAAUUGCUGAAAGGGAAACGCUUGAAGUCAGUCGCGUUGGCCGGGGAUCAGCCUUGCUUUUGUGAGGUGUACUUCCUGGUUGACGGGUCAGCAUCAGUUUCGACCACUGGAAAAAGACUUGGGGAAUGUGGCAACUUCGGUUGUGUUAUAGCCCUUUGUCGUAUACAGUGAUUGGGACUGAGGAACUCAGCACGCCGCAAGGCCGGGUUUCGACCACGUUCGUGCUUAGGAUGCUGGCAAAAUGGCUUUAAUCGACCCGUCUUGAAACACGGACCAAGGAGUCUAACAUGCUUGCGAGUGUUUGGGUGGAAAACCCGAGCGCGUAAUGAAAGUGAAAGUUGGGAUCUCUGUCGUGGAGAGCACCGACGCCCGGACCAGAAGUUUACUGACGGAUCUGCGGUAGAGCACGUAUGUUGGGACCCGAAAGAUGGUGAACUAUGCCUGAAUAGGGUGAAGCCAGAGGAAACUCUGGUGGAGGCUCGUAGCGAUUCUGACGUGCAAAUC